CCAUACUAGCUGGGGAGUUAGCGGUGCCUUGUGAUCUACAAUCCGCUUUAGUAGAGGUGAAGAUCGGUCUAAGGGUUAGAUUGGUAUAGCAGUUGCUAUAUUAUUGAUGUUGAGAAUAAAGUCCUGUACGGCGAAUAGAUAGAGAACCGUGUCAGGUCCGGAAGGAAGCAGCACUAAUUUAUUUUAUUUGGGUGUUACGGGGUAGCUUUAUUUGAGUUGAUAUAUAGAGGGGCGUAUAUUGAUUUUUAUUCGAAGGCCGAUGUAUGG
rnacentral:SRP_RNA from 1 species